GGUGAAUUAUAAGUAGCAAAAAAAAUCCUGAUGAAAUAGAGUGAAACCAUGACACUGUUUUAUAACUCGCUGUGCUCUAUGUUGGCAUCAUGUUGUUGGAUCUUCUCUGGGAGGGUCUGAGUCAUGAAAACAAAACGAUCCUUCUUCAGGCCUCGACCAACCACCUGCUCCUUCAAACCAAUUCCCAGAUA